UUUAGGUAGGCACAGACUAAGAGACCUUCGGCUACUCUUAAAACAAAUUUAGGUCGAAUCUUGGCCCAAAGCUGGGCCUCGCUUUUCCUUCAGGGCCGGGUGGUCCGGUCGGGUGAAAUAUGGUAUUGUGAAUGAAACCCUAGCCCUAUAAAUAUACACUUGCUCAGCUUUUAUAUUAGUUCCUUUACCGCUUGAGCAGAGCAUUAUCUUCAUCGUCCUACAGAAGUCGGCCACGAAAGAGAGAUCGUAGUCCAAUAUGAGAGCGAAGUGGAAGAAGAAGCGUAUGAGAAGGUUGAAGAGGAAGCGCCGGAAGAUGAGGCAGAGAUCUAAGUAGAUGCUGGAACAUCAAUGAGCGUUCACCUGGAGUGCCUUCUUCUUUGGACUUUUCAGCAUGGGCAAUAUGGAUCAAGCUGUCAAGACUGGAGGGGAUACACGUUUGGGGAAGCUUAUCUGUUUCAUCUUCUUGUCCUAGGUUUAGAAGCCAGCAGUGUUAAGACUUUGUUUGAGUUAAUUAAAUAGUACUAUCUGGUAUUAUGUUGGUACACUUAUUUUACUUAAUAUGCUGCGGUUAAAUUUAUUGAACAUCUAAUGAUUGCCUA